CAUAAAACCCUCAGACACAAACUAGAUGAAGAAAGGAAUUCAUUGGUGCACAUACCUGAAAAAUCCAGGGGUUCCAUGCCUAACAUGGAGCCCAGUGUGGACUCCAGUGUGGAACCCAAUGUGGGGCUUGGACCCAUAUACCAAGGUCAAGACCUGAACUGAGAUCAAGAGUCAGAUGCUUAACCAGCUGAGCCACCCAGGGCUGUUGUUUGGAAGGUGGUUGGCUGAAAUCCUCAACUAAAACCCUAAAUGGUGGAUUUUCCUGUGCUGUCAAUACCGAAGAAGUUGGGACUGGAUGAUCUCUAAGAACACUCCCAGCUCUUACGUCCUACACUUUUUUAUGAGCUUUAUGCCUUUUUUGUUUUUGCCCCUGUUAUGUAGCUACCAGAUGAUCUCGUCCCCCAGACCCUUUUCUCCUCUGGUUACUUCCUGAAGUCACUGUUAAACCUUUAACAGUUAGGCACUUAGGAAGAAAGAGAAACUUUCAAAGUGGGAGAAUGGGAGCAGUUCAUUCACUGUUCAAUAAAUACUUGUAGAUUUCUUACCAUGUGUUGGACUAACCACAAAGAGACAGACUAACCAAAUUAUCAUAAGCAUGACUAUAAAAACCCGUGCUAGGAAGUUUCCCUAUAACAAAGGACUGAAGACCUGGCGGAAGAGUCCCAACAAGCUUCUCUCGGGAAGAACCAAUACCUGAGCUGAGAUCUGAGGAGGAACAAGGGUUACAAAGUGAAAGAAGGUAGGGGGGCAAAAUCAUUCCAGGAAGAACAACAAACAUUCCCAGGGGGCCUGUAGCAGAAGGAAGCCCAGUGUCUUCAGGAGCUUGGUAGCAAGCGGAUACAUCCCCCAAGGUAGUUAGGAGAAAACAGACAGAACCGGGUAAUGAUUUGGAUAACUGGAGAUAGUUCUCUCUCUUGCUACUCUCUUCCUCCCUCUUUUUUUCCUAGCAGAGAAUACUUUAGCCAGGCAUUGUUUUAGCACUUUAUAUGUAUUAACUCAACAAUAGCCAAGUGAGUAUGUGGUAGAAUACAUGAACUUAUGACCCUACUGGAAAACCUCCUCUUAGACC